rnacentral:rRNA from 1 species
AACGAACGCUGGCGGCGCGUCUUAAACAUGCAAGUCGAACGGCAGCAAGGGACUUGCUCCCUCUUAGGGUUGCCGACUGGCGAGUAACACGGGGGUGACUUACCUUCUAGUUUUGCAUAGCUAUUAGCGAUGGUAGGCAAUAGCUAAUACCACCUAACCUGUACGGGUGGUAGCAGGAAAGGUUCGAAGGCUUCGCUAAAAGAAUAGCUGGCGGCGCAUUAAGCUAGUUGGUGAGGUAACGGCCCACCAAGGCGAUGAUGGGUACCCGGCCUGAGAGGGUGAACGGACACACUGGGACUGAGAUACGGUCCAGACUCCUACGGGAGGCAGCAGUUGAGAAUAUUCCGCAAUGGACGAAAGUCUGACGGAGCGACGCCGCGUGGAUGAAGAAUGCCGUAAGGUUGUAAAAUCCUUUUAUGCGGGAAGAAAAAGAGCAGUAGGGAAUGCUUGUGCGGUGACGGUACCGAAUGAAUAAGCACCGGCUAAUUACGUG